rnacentral:lncRNA from 1 species
CAGUGUACACACAUUAUCUGGACAUACAAAUGCAGUUGCUACAGUGAGAUGUCAGGCUGCAGAACCACAAAUUAUUACAGGAAGCCAUGAUACUACAAUUCGAUUAUGGGAUCUGGUGGCUGGAAAAACAAGAGUGACAUUAACAAAUCACAAAAAAUCAGUUAGGGCUGUGGUUUUACAUCCAAGACAUUACACAUUUGCAUCUGGUUCUCCAGAUAACAUAAAGCAGUGGAAAUUCCCUGAUGGAAGUUUCAUUCAAAAUCUUUCCGGUCAUAAUGCUAUUAUUAACACAUUGACGGUAAAUUCUGAUGGAGUGCUUGUAUCUGGAGCUGACAAUGGCACCAUGCAUCUUUGGGACUGGAGAACUGGCUACAAUUUUCAGAGAGUUCACGCAGCUGUGCAACCUGGGUCUUUGGACAGUGAAUCAGGAAUAUUUGCUUGUGCUUUUGAUCAGUCUGAAAGUCGAUUACUAACAGCUGAAGCUGAUAAAACCAUUAAAGUAUACAGAGAGGAUGACACAACAGAAGAAACUCAUCCAGUCAGCUGGAAACCAGAAAUUAUCAAGAGAAAGAGAUUUUAAUGAAUGUGGAAUUUUUUCUCUCUCUUUUUUUUUCUUUUUAAUU